GGUGUAGCACAGUGGUAGUGUGUCUUUAUCAUGCAGUAUGCUCUGGGUUCAAUUCCCAGCACC
rnacentral:tRNA from 1 species